UUGCAUAGAUGCCACCCUGUCUGUCACCAUUUCUCAUUUCAGAGCUCUGCCAGGGUUUAUAACUUCAUCAAUGAGGCACACUAGCAGGAUCCAAAGCAGCAAUGACUUCUCCACUGCUCCCCAUCUUUCUCUUUCUCACAUUAUACAGUCAAGACUCCAGCUGUGAGAUUAAGGUAACUCAGACUCCAACAGCCAAAUCAGUCUCUGUAGGAGACAACGUUGACUUUACAUGUACAACCAGCACUGAUAUGAGUAGUAAUGUAGACUGGUACCAUCAGAGACCUGGAGAAGCUCCUAAGCUCCUGAUCUAUGCAGCAAAUGAACUUGCAGAUGACAUCCCAGAUCGCUUCAGUGGCAGCGGAUCAGAGACUGAAUUCACACUGACUAUCACUGGAGUCCAGGCUGAGGAUGCAGGACAUUACUACUGUUUACAGUAUGAAGAGUUUCCUCUCACACAGCGACAGAGAGCCAUACAAAAACUUCUCAACAUCUGA